rnacentral:rRNA from 1 species
AACGAACGCUGGCGGCAGGCCUAACACAUGCAAGUCGAGCGCGAAAUUCAACUUCGGUUGGAGAGUAGAGCGGCGCACGGGUGAGUAACACGUGAGUAAUCUGCCCUGGAGACUGGGAUAACAGCACGAAAGAGCUGCUAAUACCGGAUAAGCCUACACCACCGUGGUGGAGUAGGAAAAGUGGGGGAACCUUCGGGUCCUCAUGCUCUUGGAUGAGCACGCGGUCCAUUAGGUAGUUGGUGGGGUAACGGCCCACCAAGCCGAAGAUGGAUAGCUGGUUUGAGAGGACGAUCAGCCACACUGGCACUGAGACACGGGCCAG